rnacentral:rRNA from 1 species
CAGCCGUAAACAAUGUGCGUUAGGUGUGUCGGUAACCACGUGUUACUGAUGCGCCGAAGAGAAAUCGUGAAACGCACCACCUGGGAAGUACGGUCGCAAGGCUGAAACUUAAAGGAAUUGGCGGGGGAGCACCACAACAGGUGGAGCCUGCGGUUUAAUUGGAUUCAACGCCGGACAUCUCACCGGAUAAGACAGCUGAAUGAUUGUCAAUCUGAAGGUUUACAUGACUAGCUGAGAGGUGGUGCAUGGCGUCAGUGACU